AUUGAACGCUUGCGGCAGGCCUAACACAUGCAAGUCGAGCGAGCGGCCGACGGGUGAGUAAUGUAUGGGGACUGCCCGUUAGAGGGGGAUAACUACUGGUAACGGUGGCUAAUAUCGCAUCCUGUCCGAUAACCCAUAUGGGAUUAGCUAGUAGGUAAGGUAAUGGCUUACCUAGGCGACGAUCCCUAGCUGGUCUGAGAGGAUGAUCAGCCACACUGGGACUGAGACACGGCCCAGGCUCCUACGGAGGCGGCAGUGGGGAAUAUCGGACAAUGGGCGCAAGCCUGAUGCAGACAUGCCGCGUGAAUGAAGAAGGCACUAGGGUUGUAAAGUACUUUCAGUCGGGAGGCGUUACCGACAAAAGAAGCACCGGCUAACUCCGUGCCAGCAGCCGCGGUAAUAC
rnacentral:rRNA from 1 species